GGGGAGCGGCGAACGGGUGAGUAAUGUAUGAGUCACCUGCCUCGAAGUCAGGAAUAGCUCUCCGAAAGGGGAAUUAAUACCUGAUAGUUUCCGCUCUGCGGAAUAAAGCUCCGACGCUUCGAGAUGGGCUCAUAUCCUAUCAGCUAGUUGGUGAGGUAAUAGCUCACCAAGGCUAAGACGGGUAGCUGGCGUGAGAGCGCGACCAGCCACAGUGGGACUGAGACACGGCCCACACUCCUACGGGAGGCAGCAAUUAGGAAUCUUGCGCAAUGGGGGCAACCCUGACGCAGCGACGCCGCGUGGAGGAUGAAGGCUUUCGGGUUGUAAACUCCUUUUAUACGGGAAGAAUACAUGACUGUACCGUAUGAAUAAGCACCUGCUAACUACGUGCCAGAAGCAUCGGUGAUGCGUAGGGUGCGAACGUUGUCCGGAUUUAUUCGGCGUAAAGAGAUGCGUAGGCGUCUCGAUAAGUCUAGUGUUAAAGCCCGACGCUUAACGUCGGAAAUGUGCUGGAUACUGUCGAGAUUGAGGCAGAAAUGGGUGAGCGGAAUUCCCGGUGUAGCGGUAAAAUGCGUUGAUAUCGGGAGGAACACCAGAGGCGAAGGCGGCUCACUGGUUCUGUUCUGACGCUAAGGCUCGAAAGCGUGGGUAGCAAAACGGAUUAGAUACCCGUGUAGUCCACGCCGUAAACAAUGGAUGCUAAGUGUUUGGUAUGACUGCGAUUCAUCUUUCGAGAUUUUUUGUAGAAGUACUGAGUGCUGAAGCUAACGCGUUAAGCAUCCCGCCUGGGAAGUACGGCCGCAAGGCUAAAACUCAAACGAAUUGGCGGGGAGGCGCACAAGCAGAGGAGCGCGUGGUUUAAUUCGAUGUAAUCGAAGAACCUUACCAGGGUUUGAAAUUCACCUGCAAGCCUGAGGAAACUCGGGCCUCUUUCGAAGGUGGUGAACAGGUGUUGCAUGGCCGUCGUCAGCUCGUGUCGUGAGAUGUAGGGUUAAGUCCCGAAACGAGCGCAACCCCUAUCCCAUGUUACAAGUGUCUUGGGAAACUGCCACGGUAAAACGUGGAGGAAGGAGGGGAUGACGUCGGGUCCGCAUGACCCUUAUGUCCUGGGCGACACACGCGCUACAAUGAAUGGUACAAUGGGCAGCCAAGUCGUAAGGCGGAGCUAAUCCCUUAAAACCAUUCUCAGUUCGGAUUGAGGUCUGAAACUCGACCUCAUGAAGUUGGAUUUGCUAGUAAUCGUGGAUCAGCCAUGCCACGGUGAAUACGUUCUCGCCUCUUGCACACACCGCCCGUCAAGCCAUGGAAGCAGGUAGUACCCGAAGGCAUUCUGUCCCUUGGGAUGGGGUGACUAAGGUAAGAUUUGUAACUGGGGCUAAGUCGUAACAAGGUAGCCGUAGGGGAAUCUGC
rnacentral:rRNA from 1 species